rnacentral:rRNA from 1 species
UGGGGAAUAUUGCACAAUGGGCGCAAGCCUGAUGCAGCCAUGCCGCGUGUAUGAAGAAGGCCUUCGGGUUGUAAAGUACUUUCAGCGGGGAGGAAGGCGAUAAGGUUAAUAACCUUGUCGAUUGACGUUACCCGCAGAAGAAGCACCGGCUAACUCCGUGCCAGCAGCCGCGGUAAUACGGAGGGUGCAAGCGUUAAUCGGAAUUACUGGGCGUAAAGCGCACGCAGGCGGUGUGUCAAGUCGGAUGUGAAAUCCCCGGGCUCAACCUGGGAACUGCAUUCGAAACUGGCAGGCUAGAGUCUUGUAGAGGGGGGUAGAAUUCCAGGUGUAGCGGUGAAAUGCGUAGAGAUCUGGAGGAAUACCGGUGGCGAAGGCGGCCCCCUGGACAAAGACUGACGCUCAGGUGCGAAAGCGUGGGUAGCAAACA